GACGAAGGGGGCUAGCGUUGUUCGGAAUUACUGGGCGUAAAGCGCGUGUAGGCGGUUGUCCAAGUUGGAUGUGAAAGCCUUGAGCUUAACUCAAGAAAUGCAUUCAGGACUUGAUGACUAGAGGACCGGAGAGGAUAGUGGAAUUCCCAGUGUAGUGGUGAAAUACGUAGAGAUUGGGAAGAACACCAGUGGCGAAGGCGGCUAUCUGGACGGUUUCUGACGCUAAGACGCGAAAGCGUGGGGAGCAAACAGG
rnacentral:rRNA from 1 species